GUUUAGGCAGCGCAUUUUACAACUACGUUGACAUUUCAUCACAAGAAUAAAUUCCGGGAGGCAAUGGAAUUUAGCGGGGAGAUUAAAACACAUACACAUAGUCGGCAACUUCUUGGAGGAAACGCCUCUGCACAGACCUGUAGGCAUAUUCGCAUUAAAAAAAAAACUUUAAGGGGGAAAAGAAGAAGAAGAAACAUCAUGAAUUGGCAUGGACCAAGGGAGAAAUGCAAAACUGGCAACAGAGGAAAUAGCCUUAAAAAUGAAGGAAAGCUGAAUGGAAUUAAAAGGCCUGUGAUCGCAGCUAUCAAGAUGAGCAGGGAGAGGAAACGUUUCUGAGACAGACAGUCAAUGGAGAAUACUCCUUGCUGUACAUCUGUACAUUACUCUUGGAUUCCUA